rnacentral:rRNA from 1 species
UACGUAGGGCGCAAGCGUUGUCCGGAAUUAUUGGGCGUAAAGAGCUCGUAGGUGGCUUGUCGCGUCUGCCGUGAAAGCCCGUGGCUUAACUACGGGUCUGCGGUGGAUACGGGCAGGCUAGAGGCUGGUAGGGGCAAGCGGAAUUCCUGGUGUAGCGGUGAAAUGCGCAGAUAUCAGGAGGAACACCGGUGGCGAAGGCGGCUCUGGG